UACGUAGGGGGCGAGCGUUGUUCGGAUUUACUGGGCGUAAAGGGCGUGCAGGCGGCUCAUUUUGUCAGGCGUGAAAGCCCCGGGCUUAACCUGGGAGCUGCGUUGGAUACGGAUGGGCUAGAGUUCGGGAGAGGAGAGUGGAAUUCCCAGUGUAGAGGUGAAAUUCGUAGAUAUUGGGAAGAACACCGGUGGCGAGGGCGGCUCUCUGGACCGAGACUGACGCUGAGGCGCGAAAGCGUGGGGAGCAAACAGG
rnacentral:rRNA from 1 species